rnacentral:ncRNA from 1 species
ACAAUCCGGCACGGGUAAAGGCUAACCACCAGCCCGGGACUGAACCGGACGUAUUGCGAGGUAACGAGUAAUGCGAAGCUUCGGUAAGGGCAGUUUGUCAGCCGUAACGCAAGUGAAGGUAUCGAGCCCCGAAAUAAUCCUUAUUUCACUGGGUCAAGGGUUUCAUUUCUUGGAAACCAGUAUCGAUGCGCACGUUAAAGGUGAGUGCGUAAUCGACGUGGCGGGGUCUAAGUCCG